rnacentral:lncRNA from 1 species
UUGAAACUCCAUUGCAGAAAAGCCAGCUAUGAUAUUUAUAGACGAGAAUUGUCUUUGUAUAAACCCAAGUGAAGGGAUAGCAAGCAUGGGGCAGAAAAUUUGCAGUGAUUAUUUCUCGUCUUGCUUCCGCAAGAUCACCGACUAGUUAGGGGAAACUGGGUAAAACGCGAAAACGAUUACAACCACGCCGUGCUCCAAACACGGUAUAACUCCACUAGAACAUUAAAACCUCUCUAGAAGACGGACAACCGAAACCAUAUAUUUGGUAGCACUUUACAACUAGGGGCUGGUCAGAUCAGCCAUGUUUGUUUCAUUCAUUCACCGGAAAAAUCUUAAAGCGGAGCUCCAUUCCAAUCUCGCUCCAAUACGGAUGUCAUGUUUGUUGGUUCAAUGUCGAAUUUCCUCACACGGUGUAGUUCUGGUUGAUGGUGUCGAUGUCAAGGCCCUUGAGCUUCACCACGGAUUCAACGUGGCCCUUGAGUGUGUUGAGCUCCCUCAACCUGCAGAUAAUCAUCAGGAAAAAGGGCAUUAGCAAUCAACGACUAGCCUGACUCGUCUGAUCUAUUAGCAGUUUGGAAGCACAAAGAUAAUAUACCUUGCAAUCUCAGCUCUUCUCUUUGCUUGCUCAGCGAUCUCAGAGAGCUCACGGUAGCUGCUCUUGUCGUUGAACAGUGUGUGGGAGGCCGGCUCGGGUGCUUGAAGGCCAUGGAGUGUUCUCUGUGCAGUAGCCCAUUGUGCUUCCCUCUCCCCUUUGCCGUAGUUCUCUUUGGUGGUGAAAGCAGUCUGCACAACAAGGAUCAGAGGGUCAUCAUUUGCUCCAGGAUGUACGUGUACCUAAAAAUAAAGGUGCUGACACAGAGAUAUGGUUCGACUUGGUACCUUGUUCUGCAGGAGGUUGUCCCAGGCCCUUCCACUCAGCACAAAUCGGAUGAAGAACUUGAAAAUGUCAAGUGGGAAGUAGAACACAAUGCUGAAGAGCCAGAUAACACCAGCCCAGCCCCACCCGAUUCCCUUGAUCCUUGCAAACUCCCAGUUGGCAUAGACAGCGAUGAGUGUUGCAACCUGCAUCAAGAAGGUUCAGCUAAGGAUUCGAUUGUCCUGAAUUUCUUUCUUUGCAGAUAAACUGUUCUUCACGUACCAAUUGUGCAAGAAGGAAGGCGGUAACCAAGAGGAAACCAGGGCGCUCAACAAAGGACCAGCUACGUGAACGAGUCACGAAUAUAAGAGCCUGGCUCACAAUACUGACUUGGAGGUACAGUGCAGACAUCAUCUCAAACUCGCUGUCCCUGAUUGACCUGACACCGAAUUUGUUCUGCACAAAGAAAUUUAAGUCAGAAAGAACAUCCCACUGAAAUUUACCUACCAGAAGUUUAGAUGCAAAGAUACGCUGAUAUUUUUCAAAGAAAUUUGAAAACUCACUGUGAAGAAGUCUGUCUUGUGGAUAACCCAGAAGAAGACGACAGUCAUCAGGGCAAGGUAGGUUCCGAGCACAACACCAGUGGCGAAGAUUUCAUUGAGCUUCCAGCUGUCGGGCAAGGGAGAUGGCUUAACUCUGUCCUUGGAUAUUGUCAUGAUAGUACCUGCAAUUUUCAUAUAAAUGUGAGAAGUGAUGCUCACAUACAUACCAUCAUUGGCCGUAGUACCUGCAUCGGCUACUAAUGGACAACAAAAGAAUACAUACCAUCAUUGAGGAUGGCAAUGAUAAGGACCAUGAAGGGGGCGAAAUCAAAUUUCCAGAUCAAGGCAAUAAGCAUAAAGCCAAGCUGCAAAAUGGAAGUGAUAUUAAUUUGGAGAAAUAUGAAGUGCAUAUCAGUGGGGCAGAAAUAUCGCUGAGGUACUUACCACAAUACGGAUGGUGAUGGAAACUGCAUAGAUCUGGCAUAACACAUGACAGAAAAAGAGCAUUGAGUCUGAAUGUGAUGUGAUCAUCUGUUUAGAAGGUUACUAAUUAUCAACUUUGAAAGAAAAAACUCACCGUGUAGUUCUUCAUCCUCUGGAAAAUGCACCUGCUGGUCAGGACAGCACUGAUAAUGACACUGAGACCUGGCUCGGUAAGCACAAUGUCGGAAGCACUUCGAGCAGCAUCUGUAGCAUCAUCGACAGCAAUACCAAUGUCGGCCUUCUUAAGAGCAGGAGCAUCAUUGACACCAUCUCCAGUCAUACCAACGAUGUGCUUCUUCUCUUGCAGCCUCUUCACAAUCUCAUACUUGUGCUCUGCAUAACGCAAACCAGGUUAACAAAAUGCAUCAUUGCAUAACCAAACAGAUAAGCAUGCAAUGGAGCAUACCAGGGAAGACUCCGGCAAAUCCAUCAGCCUUCUCAAUCAGCUCAUCAACAGGAAGUGACUCAAGUGAACCAUCCUUGCUUUGGCCAAGCAAUGCAGAAGAAGGAUACAUGUUUGUGCCCAUCCCAAGCCUCCUACCAGUCUCCUUUCCAAUAGCAAGUUGGUCACCUGAAAUAAAUCACAUAACUAUGUUUAGCUAAAUUUGCACCAAACAUGCAAAAUUCUAAGCAAGAAAUUUGUAUGACAGUGUAUGUACCUGUGAUCAUCUUGACGUUGACACCAAGAACAAGUGCCUUGCGGAUGGUCUCAGCACUGUCAUGCCUUGGGGGAUCAAACAGGGGCAACAGACCAAUGAAUUGCCAUGGUCCACCAGGAGAAUCCUUGGAUUUCUCGGGUACUUCCUGUGAUAGUCUCACUAGGCAUUAGAAAUUGACUCCCCAGCCACUACAGCCGAAAUAGCAUUUUUAGUAUUAGAAGUUAAGGUACCUGUCUUGCAACAGCAAGCGAACGAAGCCCACGCUCAGCGUACUUCUCAAUCACAGAGUGCACCUUUCUCUUCACAUCCUCCUUGCAGUUGCACAGGGUAAUAAUCUGUUCCAAGUUUCAUACCAAGUCUUCAUUAGUCACGUUAAAGAACAAUGUAACUAACUAAAAUGUCAAACAUGUAAUGAAGCAUCGCUGCACUUCUAUAGUUUUACCAACCUGCUCAGGAGCACCCUUGCUGGCACGGUGCCAGUUACCCUCAGCAUCGAUGUAAGUCAGAGCAGUCCUCUUGUCAGUAGGGUUGAAUGGCAAGAAGUGCACUUCCCUGAUGCCAGCUCUUGCCUCCUUAGGAUCAGCAAGCAUACCAACCAUGCAAGCAUCAAUGGCAUCCUGGUUUUCAACCCUUGAAGCCCUUGCAGCCAACAACAGCACAUGUUCUUUGUCGACACCUUUCGCAAACACCUCAACCAGGUUCUUGUCAACACUGAGCUUGUUAAGGGUGAGUGUGCCAGUCUUAUCACUGCAAAGCACAUCCAUGCCAGCCAACUCUUCAAUGGCAGUCAUCCUCUUGGUGAUAGCACCCUGCUGGGACAACUUGUGAGAACCAAUGGCCAUGGUGACCGACAAAACUGUAGGCAUGGCAAUCGGAAUACCACCGAUCAACAGGACCAACAGGUUCUCAAUACCGGCACGGUACUUGCGGCGCUGGAUCGGGAACAUGACGAUGAUCUCAAUGACGAUUCCCACUGCGAUCGAAACGAUGCAGAAGUUUCCGAUUGCAGUGAGGACCUGCUGGAAGUGCCCAACUUGGUUGGUGCUGUCAACGAGAUGAGCAGCCUUGCCAAAGAAAGUGUGUACUCCAGUGGCAAUGACCACAGCCUCAAUCUCACCCUGCUUGCACGUUGAUCCAGAAAAGACCUCAUCCCCAGGGUUCUUGGUCACAGGGAGAGACUCUCCUGUAAGUCCAGACUGAUCAAUCUUCAAAGGAUCACCCUCGAGGAGACGAGCAUCAGCAGGGACGAUGUCACCGAGCUUGAUGCUGACAAUGUCACCAGGAACCAAGAUUGAAGCCUCCUGCUCGCCCCAUCGACCAUCCCUAAGCACCUGGAAUAAGCAACAGUAAUUCAUGUUACAAAAAGAAUGGGCAAACAAACAAACAGAACUCAAUUAAAAAAGCUGGAGCUUGACUAUCAGUUCCAGAACAAAAGUACUAUACAGUUAUAGUAAUUAUGUCCAAAUAAAUUGCAAUUGCUAAUCCAGGUUUAACAAACAAUUUAAAUUUUUCUUUCAUGAUGGUGGAAUUUGAUACAUUCAAAACUUACUUCUACUCCCUCCGUUCCUAAAUGUAAGUCUUUGUAGAGAUUCCACUAUAAACCGCAUACGGAUGUAUAUAGAUGCAUUUUAAGUUUAGAUUCAUUCGUUCUGCUCCGUAUGUAGUCUACCUAGUAGAAUCUCUACAAAGACUUAUAUUUAGGAACGGAGGGAGUACAUCAUAGUUGAAAGCGGGAACUAGAAAAGUAUAAUGGAAGCAGACCAAUAGAAUAUCAUGGCUACUGUACUAUGGAAAAAAAAUUGCAACCUAACAGGACAGCAUUCUGUGCCAGGCUCACCUUUGUCUUGGGUGCAAGGUUGGCCAUGAGCGCAGCAGCAGCGUUGCCGGCGUUGUUCUCUUCAAUGAAGGAGAUGGUGGAGUUGAUGACCAGGAGAACGAUGAUUCCGACGAAAUCCUGCCAAUCCGGGGGCUUCCCACCACCGUUGGCCAGCGCGAUGGCCAUGAUGGCAGCCAUCUCCAUGACCCAGGACAGCGGAUUCCACAUGAAUCCCAGGAACUUGAGGACUUUGCUCUCCUGCAAAUCGAGACCCACAAGGAAGCAAUUGAGACAAGGCAAGAAAACAGGCACCAAACUUGCAUCAGAAACCAGUAGUGGCGCUCACCUUCUUCUCUUCGAGCUUGUUGAGACCAAAGAUUUCAACACGCUGCGCCCCCUCAUCGGAGGUGAGCCCCUGGCGCGUGCAUUUCAGCUGCUCGAACACCUCCUCGAUGGGGAUGUUCUCCUGCAAAUAGAAACACAAGCGAAACAAACCAUUGAUGAGAAACCAAGAUCAUGCGAUGAUUUGAGGUGUGACCCCACUCAGUCAGCGACAGCUAGAACAGACAAAUCAAACAGCAAACACAGCUCGUUGUACAGAACAGUAGCUACCCCGUCGUGGGCCCCACGGGCCAGCCUCUACCAGACAAAGCUGGGGUCAGAACAUCCGAAGAGGGAAGAGUCCAAGCGGGCAUCCAUCAACGAAGGAGGCGUGGGGCCAAUGAUUGGGACCCGUACGGCCGUCUGAUCUCGAUCAGACGGCUCAAGCCGGCCAAGGACAGGGUGUCCUGGACCGUACGCGCCUGGCCGGGUGCGUACUUUUCCCCACGGACCCACGUGCCAGGAGGCUGCCUCGAGAUGCGUGCGGCCAAGAUGCGCACCCCGUUCCGCGUCUGAAGGCGAAAAAACAAUAGGAUAAGCGAGAGCGAGCGACGGCUCCGCUUCUGGAUUGGGGUGCGCGCUUCGGUCAACAAAGAUAGAAAAACGAAAAGGCAACGGCUCGAACGCACGGAUUUCUCCGUGCUUUGUGGUGGUUGGCCACUAAUCCGGCGCCGCGUGAUCAGGGAGUCCGGCCCGUGCUUAACUAUCUUUUGACUUCAAGCCCCAAUCCGUACUCCCAUCCCACUAAUCCCACUAAAACUACUCGAAAAUCUCCAUUUAUUCUUAGCAUUUUUAGUAGUCAUUUAUUUGUGGACGGAAUAAAAACUGGGGAAGAAAUUAUGCGCAGAUCUAAGAUUCGGUGCUCGUAUCCCGCUCGUAUCACGUAUUAAAUACGGCAGACUGAAACAGCUGGGUAGGAUCCAAAAAUUCCUCCGCCGAACAACAGCGGCCGGGCUGCAUGCCCUGUACGUUUCGGCGCGGCAGCAGCAGCAGCAGCACAGCGGGAGCAAAUCAGAGGAAGAAACAUGGGGGUGUCUGCGCUACAUGGCCAUAGACAGCUGGCCCUCUCCAUCAUUGAAGAGCCGCUGAGCACGCUCACAUGGCGAGAUACAGCCUCGCAUGGAAAGUUUACUUUCAAGGAAAUCCUUUAAUUCCUUUUCGUUUCACAAAAAAAGUAACCAGUUAAACUUUUCGUGAAUGGAAAAAUUAAAAGCUACGCGGAUUUCUUCCGAAGCUUUCGCCGCUGGUAAUAAUAAUUCCCCAAAAAGAGAAGAACAGCAGGUGAAACGACCGGCAGAUGAAUCUAUCCUACCACAGUUCGUGCGACUCUUGACCCGUGUGUCGAGAGAUCGAAGCAGCAGGGGACAGCAGUUCGAAACGAGCACCGCAUGUGUAGAGCGUGAACCAAGCAUCACGGCGAGAGACGGGGCAUCGCAAGAGAAGGGGGGGAGCGGGAGCGGUUCUCACCAGAUCGACGGCCUCGUUCCUGAUCUCCUCGAGCCCGCCCAUGGCUGGCGGCGGGUGGUGGUCGGGCGCCGGACCAGCACGGGAAGAGAGCAGGCGGAGUCCACAGGCGAACCCCGAGGCCCAACUCUAGCACGCACCAACGCGGGAGGCCGCGCUGGCUGCUGCUNNNNNNNNNNNNNNNNNNNNNNNNNNNNNNNNNNNNNNNNNNNNNNNNNNNNNNNNNNNNNNNNNNNNNNNNNNNNNNNNNNNNNNNNNNNNNNNNNNNNNNNNNNNNNNNNNNNNNNNNNNNNNNNNNNNNNNNNNNNNNNNNNNNNNNNNNNNNNNNNNNNNNNNNNNNNNNNNNNNNNNNNNNNNNNNNNNNNNNNNNNNNNNNNNNNNNNNNNNNNNNNNNNNNNNNNNNNNNNNNNNNNNNNNNNNNNNNNNNNNNNNNNNNNNNNNNNNNNNNNNNNNNNNNNNNNNNNNNNNNNNNNNNNNNNNNNNNNNNNNNNNNNNNNNNNNNNNNNNNNNNNNNNNNNNNNNNNNNNNNNNNNNNNNNNNNNNNNNNNNNNNNNNNNNNNNNNNNNNNNNNNCUCUCUCUCUGUUCGCGUGCCGCGGCGAGUUAGGCCGUCCCUCCCUCCCGUCCCGCCGCACCUGGAUGGCGCCUCGCGGAGAGAUAGCGAGCACAGGCAGAGGCACGUGCGCGCGGGGCCCGCGCGUCGGUGGCGGUGGCGGAAAUAUCCCGAAGAUUUGACCCCGGGGAAGGGCAGGGGCUGGCGCGGGCCCCGCGGGCGUAUCGCCGCAGAGCCGUGGGAUGCCAGCCACUUGUGGGCGGGACCGGGUGCCCGCGCCGCGGCACGGGAUAACGGGCGCGGCGUCAAAGGGUUGGUCGGCGCCUUCCGUUCCUUUUUUAACUGCGGGCCGCGCGCGCGCCCGUGCCGGGCUGGGUUGGGUUUUGGCCCGGGUCACGGAGGGAGAUUCCAUUCCGCUCCACCGUUGUUUCUGCGAGCGGAUGGGGGCCGUACGUACGUACGGUGCGGACGGUAGCGGCCGUGCCUCCGUGUACCGGAACAAAAGUGCGGGGACGCGAGGAUAAAAAAACUACUGCUACGAGGAGGCAUUGCGGGGUGGGAUUUUGUAGCCUGGCGCUGUAAACCUGGCAUGUUUUUGGCAACUGUGGACGCCUGGCUUCGGUUGGUUGGUUGGUGCGAUUCGGGUCACAAGGGGCCGGCCAAUGGGACGGCCGUGAUUGCCGGUUCAAACGGGUUUUUAAAUGUUGCUUAUCUUUUGCUACUAGUAGUUUGCCAGUAUGAACAUUUCUCUUGCCCCACCGUUAUAAAAACAGAGGACGAUUUCGACUUUACUACGAGGAACUCUGACGGUUUUGUAUUUUUAUACUGACAGAACUCUAGCGAUUGAUGUUCGUAUAAGUACAAACGUAUAUAUACGAAUGGCGUGACGCUGUGUUUUUUUGUUGACGAAUUAUUGUGCACGGUUCUACCUAGCAAAUCAAAAUAGUUCAUUGAUAAUUUGCGGGGAUAUGGAAGCAUGUGCGAUGUCAUGCAUUCAGGAGCGAUAGCGGUGCUAUUAUUGCUCGCAUUUGUAUCCUUACUUGAAAUAUGUCAACAAGAUUCGUCUUCUUUUGUGUGACAUCAAACCUUAUCGUGCACUCCGGCAUCUUUUGACGCGGUUCCUACUAUCCAUCCACGUAGUAAGAUUAAAAAGGUGUAUUAACCUUCCCGCAAAAAAAAGGUGAAUUAACCAAUUAGUGUGACGAAAAAAGCAAUCAUAUAUGAUGGGGAAAAUAGUGAUCUCUUUCCUGUGACUGGUCAUCGCUUUGUAUGUUUACAUCGCUAGUUUCAUCCCGGUCCAGCUCUUAGUUAGUCAAGAUCUUCAUGCCAAUAGCACAAUGGGUUAUAUACAAACGCCCUGAAGAUCCUUGGCGCUGCCUUCACCCCCUUUAUCUUUGUUUUAUUAGUUUGCUUCACAAUAUCAUGUCUGCUUUUAGGUUUACAUCAACAUCACCAUGCAUUCCCUCUCUUAAUCCCCAUUUAGUUCUUAUUCUAUAUUAUUUUGUCUCACAAAAGCUCCAUAAUUGUGUUUUUUCGAUCUGGUGUCCCUGCACACUUGAAAGCAUGCGAACAACAUAAGACAUCAUGGAAUUCUCACACUUUAUGCGUCUUUUUGCACUGUAUUUUUGGGUUUGUAGUGCAAUGCAUAGCACGGGUAUGUCUAUGUGUGGACAUAGCAAUGGGCUUUUUCACCCAGUCUAUGAUGGUCUUUACGAUGGACUAGACCAAAUUAAAUAAAAAGCCAACGGUACAACAUGAGGUGUAGGGAGAGAGGUGAGAAAAAUAACUAAGAGAAGGAAAAUUGCAAUCUUUUUAGAAGGUGAAACGACACGGUACUCCAAUCCAUGAGGGGGGGCUUCUUCUGAUAGUAGGGAUAUUUGACAAACAUAGAGAAGUUUGACUAUGUGCUUUGUGUGAUAUCAUGCAUUUAGGCGUGAUAGUGGUAUGAUAAUUGCUCGCAUUUUUAUCAUUGGUUGCAAUAUCUAGGCAUGUCAAACAGUAAAGCAGUUCAUCUUCUCUUAUGUGUACCACAUCAUCUAGCGAAGACCACAAAAUUUAUCAUACACUUGGACAUCUUUUGACGUGAUUCCUACUAUUAAUGCACAUAUUUUACAUUAAAAAGGUGCAUGAACCAAUUAUGUGUGACAAAAAAAGAAAUGAUAUACGAUGAGGAAAAAUAAUAACUCUUUCUUGUGACUAAUCAUCCUUUUACAAAAGAGAAGAUAACAUGUUCUUUUGUUACCUCAAAGUGAAAACAAAAACAAAGUGUCACCUUUAAGAACAUAUUUGCACCGCUUGUUUCAUCCCGCUUAAGUUUCUACUUGGUCAAGAUCUUCAUGGCGAUGGUUGAUGUCUACUACAUAACUUGUUCUUGUAGAACAGUGUUGAGCCUCCAAGCACAGAGUUUUGUACGACGGUAGCAAAUUUCCCUCAAGUGGAUAACAUAAGGUUUAUCAAUCCGUGGGAGACGUAGGAUGAAGAUGGUCUCUCUCAAACAACCAUGCAACCAAAUAACAAUGAGUCUCUUGUGUCCCCAACACACCAAAUACAAUGGUAAAUUGUAUAGGUGCACUGGUUCGGCGAAGAGAUGGUUUUACAAGUGUAGUAAUGAUAGUAAAUAUUGAUUUUUGUAAUAGGAACAAUAAAAACAUCAAGGUAGCAAGUAACAAAAUUUAGCACAAAUGGUAUUGCAAUGCUUGAAAAUGAGGCCUAGGGUUCAUACUUUCACUAGUGCAAUCUCUCAACAAUGCAAAUAUAAUUGGAUCAUAUAACCUUCCCUCAACGUGUGAUAAAAGAACCACUCCAAAGUUCUGAUCUAGCGGAACAUAAGACUAAAUUGUUUGUAGGGUUCCUCAAAGUUAUCCUCCCCGAUCGAUCUAUCGAGCUAUUCCGAUAAGUGUCACAAACAGCCAAAGAGUUUGUACUAAAAUAACAUUGUAUGCCACUACUGCAGGAUGCUGCUAACACUACACUACGAUCAGAGACCCUUUUACGAGACUGUGUGUGAUGCAUCGCAAACGGUGAUGUAAAAAAACCGCCCAAAAAGAUGCAAAACGUUUGUGAUGGCCGAGCCAUCAAACACGGUUCUGAUUUUAGUUCUGUGUGCGAUGCAUGGCAUACGGUUCAGUUAAAUUAACUGUUUGCGAUGAGGAAUAAGAACAGAAAUGGACAGCCAGAUGAAGGCAUGUGCGAUAUACGGCAUACAGUUCACUCGGAUUAACAGUUUGUGAUGAGGCAGAACAAAAGAAAUGGGUAGCUAGAUAAAGGUGUGUGCGAUUGAGGGCAUACGCUUCAGAAGGAUUAACUGUUUGUGAUUAGGCAACAGAACAGAAAUGGUCAGCCAGAUCAAAGUGCCAGUGAUUGAUGGCAUACACUUCACACGGAUGAACUGUUUGUGAUUAGCCACAACAAACAGAAAUAGUUAGACAGAUCAACGUGUGUGCGUUAGACGAGCACACAUUCUAAUAAAAAGAAGUGUGUCUGAUGGCAAUAACGAGCACGCAUGGUUGUUGGAACAAGAUGUGUGCUGAUAUUGCCUAUUGUGGUGAACCCUAUGGUGCAAAAGCCACGUACGCGGCCAAGAAAGCGUGCCCACGUUACGCCAUCUGGGAAUAGUGCUGCACUUAGAAAUUAUAGAACUGUCAAUAAUUUUUGAGCCUGCAUCCCUUCACAUUCCAAAUUACUACCACGCUAUAUUUAAUUGCAAACCUGUUCACACCGAUCAAAACCUAAACGUUUUCCCACUUAGGAGUGUAUUAGUACUCGGUUAUAAAUACUAAUACUCCAAGAUGACUGCACAUUCCACCUCAACUCCUCAUCCACAAAACAAACAAGUCAUUUAUCAUCGUUCCCUUGUGUCUGCCAUGACCAGCGUGAGUUCUGGGUCGAGAGAUUGCCACCAGGGAUAGGCGAGCAUAAUAACCAUGAAACUUGUCAAAAUCGUAUUUGGUGUGUUGUUUUUAUUGUUCUGAUUACAAAAAUCAAUAUCAACUAUCAUUACUAUGCUUGUAUCACCAUCUCUUCACCGAACUAGCGCACCUAUACAAAUUACCAUUGUAUUUGGUGUGUUGGGGACACAAGAGACUUUUUAUUAUUUACUUGCAGGGUUGUUUGAGAGAGACCAUCUUCAUCCUACGCCUCCCAGGAUUGAUAAACCUUAGGUCAUCCACUUGAGGGAAAUUUGCUACUGUCCUACAAAACUCUGCGCUUGGAGGCCCAACACGAGUCUACAAGAACAAGUUGUGUAGUAGACACCACGUUGCCGGGGAGACAUCAUCAACAUCUACCAGGUUCCUAAUCACAAAUCUCAUCUCAUCGCUAUUUACACUAUUUUCCAUUUGCCUCUCGUUUUCAUCUCCCCCACUUCAAAAAAUGGCUGUUUUAUUCGCCCUCUUUUUCGCUCGCCGUUUUCUCGUUAGAUAUGUUUUUAGUGCAAUCUUGUUGCGUAGUCACGAUGACUCAAGAGAACACCAAGUUGUGUGAUUUCUCUAACACCAACAACAAUGAUUUUAUUAGCACUCCGGUUGCUCCUACCGCCACUAGUGUGGAGUCUUGUGAUAUUAAUGUCGCUUUGCUGAAUGUUGUUAUGAAAGAUCAAUUUUCUGGUACUCCUAGUGAGUACGUCGCAUCUCAUCUUAACACAUUCAUGGAAUUAUGGGAUAUGCAGAAGAAAAAAGAUGUGGACAAUGAUAUUGUGAAGUUGAAAUUAUUCCCGUUUUCUUUGUGAGAUCGUGCAAAAAAUUGGUUUUCUUCCUUGCCUCGCAAUAGUAUCGAUUCUUGGGAUAAGUGCAAUGAUGCUUUUAAUACUAAUUAUUUUCCGCCCGCGGAAAUUAUUUCCCUUAGAACGCAAAUCAUGAAUUUUAAGCAACUUGAGCAUGAACAUGUUGUGCAAUAUUGGUAAAGAUUGAAAUUGAUGCUAAGACAUUAUCCUACUCAUGGUUUAAAUCUUUGGAUGAUCAUACAAAUAUUUUAGGCGGGAUUGAAUUUUGUUUGUAGAAAUCUUUUAGAUUCCGCCACGAGUGGUACUUUUAUGGAAAUUACUUUGGGAAGCUACUAAAUUUCUUGAUAAUAUUAUGGCAAAUUAUUCACAAUGGCAUAUCGAAAGAGCUCCUACUAGUAAAAAAGUUAAUUUGGUUGAAGAAAUUUCUACUUUGAGUGAAAAAGUUGAUGCUCUUAUGAAGUUGGUUGCUAAUAAAAAUGUUCCUAUUGAUCUUAAUGAUGUGCCUUUGUCUACCUUGAUUGAGAAAAAUAGUGAUGCCAUAGAUGUAAAUUUUGUUUCGCGAAACAAUUUUAAUAACAAUGCUUAUAGAGGUAAUUUUAAUCCUAGACCUUUUCCAGGAAACUCCUCUAAUAAUUAUGGUAAUUUCUAUGGUGAUCCUUCUUAUAACAAUAAUAAUAAUAAUAGGAACACCUCUGAUCUUGAGAAUAAUAUUAAAGAAUUUAUCAAUGCUCAAAAGAGUUUUAAUGCUACGAUAGAAGAAAAGUUGAGUAAGAUUGAUGAUAUGUCUAGAAGCAUUGAUAGAAUUUCUCAUGAUUUAGAAAAUAUCAAGAUGAAAAAUUUUGUUCCUAAGGUUGAAGAAUCAAUUAAAGCUUUAUAUGUUUCUAUGGACAAAAUUAAGAAAAGAACCGCUAUGCUAAGAGCUAGAAGAGAAUUUGUAGAAAAAGUGUUUUCUGGUGAUUGCUUUCAUAAAAAUGAUGAAGAUCUUAAAGUGAUUGGUGUUUCUUCAAUUGAUUCAUUGGUUAGUAAAAUUAAAAUUGAUGAAAAAGGGACCGAAGAAGAGUCAACUUUAGCUAGAAGGCGUCUCGAUAAUUCGGAGGGUGAAAAUCUUGUUGAGAAAAUUGAUAAAAGUGGGUUUGGAGAGGUCAAAACUUUAACCAGUGUUGUGCCCACUCUUUUGGAUUACAAAGACUUUAAUUAUGAUAAUUGAUCUUUUAUUGAUUGUAUUUCUUUGUUGCAAUCCAUGAUAAAUUCACCCCAUGCAUACGAACAAAAUAAAGCUUUUACUAAACAUAUUGUUGAUGCUAUGAUGAAAGCUUUGGAAGAAAAGUUGGAAUUGGAGAUUUCAAUUCCUAGAAAAUUACAUGAUGAAUGGGAACCUACUAUCAAAGUCAAGAUUUAAAAUUAUGAGUGUUUUGCUUUAUGUGACUUGGUUGCUAGUGUUUCCACAAUUCCGAAAUCAUUAUGUGAUGUGCUUGGUCUUACCUAUAUUGAAGAAUGUUCUUUAAAUUUGCACUUGGCAGAUUCUGCUAUUAAAAAGCCUAUGGGAAGAAUUAAUGAUGUUCUUAUUAUUGCAAAUAGGAAUUAUGUGCCCAUAGAUUUGAUACGUCUCCAACGUAUCUAUAAUUUAUGAAGUAUUCAUGCCAUGUUUACAAUAGUUUUAUAAGAUUUUGGUAUGAUUUGAUUAGAACUAACCCGGACUGACGAUGUUUUCAGCAGAACUACCGUGGUGUUGUUUUUGUGCAGAAAUAAAAGUUCUCGGAAUGCGCUGAAAAUGAACGGAGAUUUUUUUGGAAAAUAUAAAAAAUACUAGAACAAAAAUCUACCGGAAGGGAGUCCCAUGGGCCCCAUGAGGGUGGGGGCGUGCCCACCCCCCUAGGGCGCGCCCCUGUGCCUCAUGGACUUCCUAUGGGGCCCCCUGACUUGUCCUCAACGCCAACCUCUCCUAUAAGUGCCCAAACUUCCUGAAAAUAACCUAGAUCAGAAGUUCCACCGCCGUAGGCCUCUGUAGCCACGAGAAAUCAAUCUAGGCCCUCUCUGGCACCCUGACGGAGGGGGCCAUCACCACCGGAGUCCAUGGGGAAGGAUCUCGGAGGGUCCAUCAUAGCCAUGAAGGCCAAGGACCAGAGGAGGAACCUCUCCCCAUCUAGGGGGAGGCCAUUAAGAAGGAAGCACAAGGGGAAGAACCUUUCCUCCUCUCUCUCGGUGGCGCCGGAGUGCCAUCAGGAGGGGAAUCAUCGCCGCGGUGAUCGUCUUAAUCAACAUCACCCUCAUCAUCACCAUCCUCAUCUCUUUGACGUGGUCCACUCUCCCGCACCCCGCUGUAAUCCCUACUUGAACAUGGUGCUUUAUGCCACAUAUUAUGAUCCAAUGAUGUGUUUCCAUCCUAUGAUGUUUCGAGUAGAUAUCCUUUGUCUUUGGUUUGAUUGAUGAUCUAGAUUGGUAUGAGUUGUAUGUUUUAUUUUGGUGUUGUCCUAUUGUGCCCUCCGUGUCGCGCAAGCGUGAGGGAUUCCCAUUGUAGGGUGUUGCAAUAUGUCCAUGGUUUACUUAUUGUCUGUGUUGCUUGAGUGACAGAUGCUUGCUAGAGUUCCAAUCAUAAGUGCAUAUGAUCCAAGAAGAGAACGUAUGUUAGCUUAUGCCUCUCUCUCAUAUGAAAUUGCAAUAGUGAUUACUGGUCUUGUUAACAAUUGCCUAGGAUAAUUCCUUACACUGAACCAUCAUUAUUCCACACUUGCUAUUUAUAAUAUUUAGUAAUAUAUUCUAAGUUUAUGAUAACAACACCUACUUUUAUAUUUUAGCUCUCCGAUAUCAUGCAAAGUUAUCCUCUUCAUUCCCACAACAUAGUUUUAUUUCUCGUUUCUAGUUGGAAGCAAAUGUUUGGUGUAUGUAGAGUCGUAUCAGUGGUAGAUAGGACUUGAGAGAAUAUUGAUCUUACCUUUAGCUCCUUGUGGGUUCGACACUCCAUGCUUAUCACUUCCACCUUUGGAAAUUGCUAUGAUGAUUCCCUUCAUUUGGGGAUUAUCAAGCUCUUUUUUGGCGCCGUUGCCGGGGAGCAAUAGCAUGGGGUUGAUAUUCUCGUGUGUGCUUGUUUGCUUUCUUCACGAAGUAGUUUUUGUUUUCCCUUUUAGUUUUUCCUAGUUGUGGGUGAAACAUACAAAAAAUACAAAAAAAUGACAAUACAAAAAGAUGCACUUGCCUCAUAUGCCUAAAAAGUUUUUCAAAAAAGAGAAGUGAUUGGAAAGUUAUGCAUUGAAGAAGUGAGGGUCGACCUUGAGCACUUGUGUUCAUGCUCAUGGAAACAAUGUAGAAUUUUUCAUGGAAGCUUCUCUAUAAAUAAUUAUCCCCUUGUAUAUAUCCAUUGUAUUAUAAAAACAAUGUGCCAAGCUUUGGUUUUAGGAUGAUUAGAUUGCUUGUUACUAUGUGCAUUACAAAAACAGAAACUUUGGCUGUAGAGCGUGAAUUUACAUUUUGUUUUACUGGAAAGUCAAAUGGGUCUGAAACUUUUUGCACAUUACUUCUGUACAAAUUGUUUAAAUUUUCAUAUUUUAUUUAGAAUUUUUAGAGUUACAGAAGAAUACUUAAUUUCCAAAUUACUACAGAUUGUCCUGUUUUUUGACAAAUUCUGUUUUCUAUGUGUUGUUUGCUUAUUUUGAUGAAUCCAUGGGUAGUNNNNNNNNNNNNNNNNNNNNNNNNNNNNNNNNNNNNNNNNNNNNNNNNNNNNNNNNNNNNNNNNNNNNNNNNNNNNNNNNNNNNNNNNNNNNNNNNNNNNNNNNNNNNNNNNNNNNNNNNNNNNNNNNNNNNNNNNNNNNNNNNNNNNNNNNNNNNNNNNNNNNNNNNNNNNNNNNNNNNNNNNNNNNNNNNNNNNNNNNNNNNNNNNNNNNNNNNNNNNNNNNNNNNNNNNNNNNNNNNNNNNNNNNNNNNNNNNNNNNNNNNNNNNNNNNNNNNNNNNNNNNNNNNNNNNNNNNNNNNNNNNNNNNNNNNNNNNNNNNNNNNNNNNNNNNNNNNNNNNNNNNNNNNNNNNNNNNNNNNNNNUAAUAUUAAAUUGAAAUGAGUUUGCAACAGUACCUAAAGGUAGUGAUUUGCUUUAUUAUACUAAUGGAUCUCAUAAGUUUUUGUUCAGUUUUGUGUGGAUUAAGUGUUCGAAGAAUGAGGAGUUCCGAUGUGAGAAGAAUAAAGAGAGGCAAGAGUUCAAGCUUGGGGAUUCCCAAGGCACCCCAAGUAAAUAUUUCAAGUAUACUCAAGCAUCCAAGCUUGGGGAUACCCCGGUUGGCAUCCCAUCUUUCUUCUUCAACAAUUAUCGGCAUACCUCGAUUUUUGUUUUAUUCGCAUGAUUUGUACCCUUUGUGUUUUUCUUUUUCUUUAGGAACCAUACUAGUAUGAGAUAGCCCUUCAUUGAUUUAUAGAAUGCUUCAUGUGCUUCACUUAUAUCUUUUGAGUAUGGUCUUAUAGAAUUACUCUUUGUGCUUCACUUAAAUCUCUUGAGUAUGGUUUAAUAGAAUGCUUCGUGUGCUUCACUUAUAUAUUUUGAGCUUGAAUAUUGGUUAGUCUAAAUUAAUUGUAGAAUGCUCAAUGAGCUUCACUUAUAUCUUUUGGAGUAUGAAUAAUACUAUUAUCAAAAGUGGGUUUGGAAGAGUGUCAACCUUUGGAAGUAACAAUCCCACUAUUUUGGAGAGGUCUUGACUUUAGUUAGUAAUGAUUCCAUUGUUUUGGAAGAGGUUCCAAUUGAUUAUGUGAACAAAGUUGCUACCUAUGAUUGUUAUUGUGAUGACAUGUAUACUAUAAGGGAAUAUGUUAACCAUGAAACUUGUCAUCAUCAUUUUAAAUUUCAAUUGGAUUGUGCCUCAUAUGACAUUUAUUUUGUUGAGUUUGCUCCCAAUAUUCCGAAUGAGAAGAAUUUUGCUUAUGUGGAGUGUAGUAAAAUUUCUAUUCUUGUAGAUCAUGAAAAGAAUGCUUUAUGAGAGGGUUAUAUUGUUGAAUUGAUUCAUGAUGGUACUGAAAAUUAUGAUGAGGGAGGAAUAUAUGCUUGUAGGAGUUGCAAUAAUAUCAAGUUUCCUCUCUAUGUGCUUAACGUUUUGAAAUUAUACUUAUUUUGCCCUCCUAUGCUAGUUGAUCCUUGUUCCUAUAAGUUGUGUGCUCACAAAAUCCCUAGUCAUAGGAAGUGGGUUAGGUUUAAAUGUGCUAGUCAUAUUCUUCAUGAUGCUCUUGCUACGUCUUGAGCUUGCGUUGGUUUUCCUUGAAGAGGAAAGGGUGAUGCAGCACAGUAGCGUAAGUAUUUCCCUCAGUUUUUGAGAACCAAGGUAUCAAUCCAGUAGGAGGCUCCUCACAAGUCCCACGAACCUACACAAACAAACAAAGAACUUGCAACCAACGCGAUAAAGGGGUUGUCAAACCCUUCACGGCCACUUGCGAAAGUGAGAUCUGAUAGAGAUAAUAUGAUAAGAUAAAUAUAUUUUUGGUAUUUUGUAAUAUAGAUGCAAAAAGUAAAGAUGCAAAUAAAAGUAGAUUGAAAGCUUAUAUGAUAAAGGAUAGACCCGGGGGCCAUAGGUUUCACUAGAGGCUUCUCUCAAGAUAGCAUAAGUAUUACGGUGGGUGAACAAAUUACUGUCGAGCAAUUGAUAGAAAAGCAAAUAAUUAUGAGAUUAUCUAGGCAUGAUCAUGUAUAUAGGCAUCACGGCCGUGACAAGUAGACCAACUCCUGCCUGCAUCUACUACUAUUACUCCACACAUCGACCGCUAUCCAGUAUGCAUCUAGAGUAUUAAGUUCAUAAGAACAGAGUAACACAUUAAGAAAGAUGACAUGAUGUAGAGGGAUAAACUCAAGCAAUAUGAUAUAAACCCCAUCUUUUUAUCCUCGAUGGCAACAAUACAAUAUUUGCCUUGCAACCCUUUCUGUCACUGGGUAAGGACACCGUAAGAUUGAACCCAAAGCUAAGCACUUCUCCCAUGGCAAGAAAGAUCAAUCUAGUAGGCCAAACCAAACCGAUAAUUCGAAGAGACUUGCAAAGAUAACUCAAUACAUAAAAGAAUUCAGAGAAGAUUCAAAUAUUAUUCAUAGAUAAACUUGAUCAUAAACCCACAAUUCAUCGGAUCUCAACAAACACACCGCAAAAAGAGUUUACAUCAAAUAGAUCUCCACAAGAGAGGGGGAGAACAUUGUAUUAGAUCCAAAAAGAGAGAAGAAGCCAACUAGCUCAUAACUAUGGACCCGAAGGUCUGUGGUAAACUACUCACAACUCAUCGGAAGGGCUAUGGUGUUGAUAUAGAAGCCCUCCGUAGUGGAUUCCCCCUCCGACAGAACACCGGCGACGGCUCCAAGAUGGGAUCUCGCGGAUACAGAAGGUUGCGGUGGCGGAAAUAUUUCUUCGGUGGCUCCCUGGAUGUUUUCGGGGUACGUAGGCUUAUAUAGGAGGAAGAAGUAUGUCGGUGGCCACCCGAGGGGCCCACGAGACAGGGGGCACACCCAGGAGGGGUGGGUGCACCCUCCACCCUCGUGGGCGCCUCGGCUGCUUCUUCGCUCACACUCCAAGUCAUGUGGAUCAGGUUUGUUCCAAAAAUCACGCUCCCGAAGGUUUCAUUCCGUUUGGACUCCGUUUGAUAUUUCUUUUCUUCGAAAUACUGAAAUAGGCAAAAAAACAGCAAUACGGGCUAGGCCUCCGGUUAGUAGGUUAGUCCCAAAAAUGAUAUAAUUCUGUAAAAUAAAGCCAUAAACAUCCAAAACAGGUAAUAUAAUAGUAUGGAACAAUGAAAAAUUAUAGAUACGUUGGAGACGUAUCAAGCAUCCCCAAGCUUAAUUCCUGCUCGUCCUCGAGUAGGUAAAUGAUAAAAUCAGAAUUUUUGAUGUGAAAUGCUACCUAGCAUAAUUCUCAAUGUAAUUUCUCUUUAAUGUGGCAUGAAUGUUCAGAUCCAAAUGAUUCAAAAUAAAAGUUCAUAUUGACAUAAGAAAUAGUAACACUUCAAGCAUACUAAUAAAAGCAAUCAUGUCUUCUCAAAAUAACAUGGCUAAAGAAAGUUCAUCCCUACAAAAUCAUAUGGUUAGGCUAUGCUUCAUUUUCAUCACACAAAGAUGUUCCUAACUUCUAUACCCCCGAUGACAAGCCAAGCAAUUGUUUCGUACUUAAAUAAUCUCAAACUUUUUCAACCUUCACACAAUACAUGAGCGUGAGCCAUGGAUGUAGCACUAUGGGUGGAAUAGAAUAAUGAUUGGGGAUUGUGUGGAGAAGACAAAAAAGGAGAAAGUCUCACAUUGACGAGGAUAAUCAACAGGCUAUGGAGAUGCCCAUCAAUUGAUUUCAACAUGAGGAGUAGGGAUUGCCAUGCAACGGAUGCACCAGAGCUAUAAAUGAAUGAAAAGCUCAACAAAAGAAAACUAGUUGGUGUGCAUCCAACUUGCUUGCUCAUGAAGACCUAGGGCAUUUGAGGAAGCCCAUCGUAGGAAUAUACAAGCCAAGUUCUAUAAUGAAAAAUUCCCACUAGUAUAUGAAAGUGACAGCAUGUGAGGCUCUCUAUAUGAAAAACAUGGUGCUACUUUGAAGCACAAUAUAUGAGACUCACUACAUGAAGAACAAGGUGCUACUUUGAAGCACAAGUGUGGAAAAAGAGAUAGUAGCAUUGCCCCUUUUUAUUUUCUUUAUUUUAUUUUUCUUCUUUUUUUUUCUUUUUUUUGGGACUUUUUUUUGCCUUUCUUCUUUUUUUCUUUUUGGGCAAUGCUCUAAUAAUGAUGAUCAUCACACUUUUAUUGAUUACAACAUAGGAAUUACAACUCGAAACUAGAACAAGAUAUGACUCUAUAUGAAUGCCUUCGGCGGUGUACCGGGAUGGUGCAAUGAAUCAAGAGUGACAUGUACGAAAAUUAUGCAUGGUGGCUUUGCCACAAAUACGAUGUCAACUACAUGAUCACGCAAUGGAAAUAUGACAAAAGUAAUGUAUGUCAUGAUGAUGAUGAACGGAACGGUGGAAAGUUGCAUGGCAAUAUAUCUCGGAAUGGCUAUGGAAAUGCUAUAAAUAGGUAGGUAUGGUGGCUGUUUUGAGGAAGAUAUAGGGAGGUUUAUGUGUGAUAGAGCGUAUCAUAUCAUGGGGUUUGGAUGCACCGGCGAAGUUUGCAUCAACUCUCAAUGUGAGAAAGGGCAAUGCACGGUACCGAAGAGGUUGCAAUGAUGGAAAGGUAAAAGUGUGUAUAAUCCAUGGACUCAACAUUAGUCAAAAGAACUCAUAUACUUAUUGCAAAAAAAUUGAAGUCAUCAAAAGCCAAUCACUAUGCGCAUGCUCCUAGGGGGAUAGAUUGGUAGGAAAAGACCAUCGCUUGUCCCUGACCGCCACUCAUAAGGAUGCACAAGCCAGGUACACUUCAUGUUUCAAAUUUGUUACACAACUUUAACCAUACAUGCAUGCUACAGGACUUGCUAACUUCAACACAAGCAUUCUUUAAAUUCAUGAUCACCCAAUUAGCAUGACUUUAAUAUCACUACCUCCAUAUCUCAAAACAAUUAUCAAGUAUCAAGUUGAUCAUAGCAUCCAAUUCACUUCCUAUGAUAGUUUUUAUUAUACCCAACUUGGAUGCUCAUCAUUCUAGGACCAAUUUAUAACCAUAGUAAAUACCAUGCUGUUCUAAAAUACUCUCAAAAUAAUAUAAGUGAAGCAUGAGAGAUCAAAAAUUUCUUAAAAAUUAAUCCACCGUCGUGCUCUAAAAGAUAUAAGUGAAGCACUAGAGCAAAACUAUCUAGCUCAAAAGAUAUAAGUGAAGCACAUAGAGUAUUCUAAUAAAUUUCAACCGAGUAGGAUUCUCCCAAAAGGUGUGUUACAGCAAGGAUGAUUGUGGUAAACUAAAAAUCAAAGACUAAUAUAAUACAUGAUGCUCCAAGCAAAACACAUAUCAUGUGGCGAAUAAAAAUAUAGCUCCAAGUAAAGUUACCGAUGAACGAAGAUGAAAGAGGGGAUGCCUUCCGGGGGCAUCCCCAAGCUUAGGCUUUUGGCUAUUAUUGAAUAUCUUGGGGUGCCUUAGGCAUACCCAAGCUUAGGCUUUUGCCACCCUUUAUUCCAUAGUCCAUCAAAUCUCUACCCAAAACUUGAAAACUUCACAACACAAAACUCAACAGGAAAUCUCAUAAGCUCCGUUAGUGAAAGAAAACAAAACCACCACAUAAGUACUGUAAUGAACUCAUUCUUUAUUUAUAAUGGUGUUAAACCUACUGUAUUCCAAGUUCUCUAUGGUUCAUACCCUUACAUACUAGCCAUAGAUGCAUCAAAAUAAGCAAACAACACACGAAAAACAGAAUCUGUCAAAAACAGAAAAGUCUGUAGCAAUCUGUAACUAACGCAAACUUCUGGAACCUUAAAAAUCCUACAAAAAUAGAAAGUCCUAAACAAUUUGUUUAUUGAACAGCAGAAAAAAUAAUAAAUGCAAAAUCUCGUUCCUGUGAUUUAUUGAAUUUUUUCUCGUGAGCGCAACGUUUCUGUUUUUCAGCAGAAUCAAAUCAACUAUCAUCAUAGGUUAUCCUAUAGGUUCUACUUGGCACAAACACUAAAUAAAACAUGAAAACACAUCUAAACAGAAAGUAGAUGCAAAAUUUAUUACUAAACAGGAACAAAAACAAAAGACACAAAGAAAAUUGGGUUGCCUCCCAACUAGCGCUAUUGUUUAACGCCCCUAGCUAGGCAUAAAAGCGAAGAUAGAUCUAAGUAGUGCCAUCUUUAAUUUUCAGUUUUUUAGCAGAGUCAUGCUCGAAUCCGGGAGGUUCUUUAUGUUUCCCUUCAUACUCGGAAAUUUUUAGAUCUAAAGAAUCCAACCGCUUAUUGCAAGGGUGAUCAACAUAUUCAUGCGGUGAAGAUUUCCGCUAACACUUUUAAGAGGCUCAAGAGAUUUUUGUAAAAAAAUUGUUAGUUCGCAAAUAUUCCCAAACACUUGGGUUUCUUCUUGGGUAGGAUGUGGUCCUCCCUUUUGAGGUAGUGUUCCCACUAUCCCCUCUAUAAUUUCAUGCGCAAUACUAGGAUCAAUUUCAACGAAAUUUCCCUUGGCAAUGCAGUCCAAGAGUUGUCUAUCCGUCAUGUUUAGCCCAACAUAAAAAUUGCGAAGAAGAAUUGUAAAGUUCACCUCUAGGGUGCACUUGCGAUAAGAUUCCAUCAUCCUAUACCAAGCAUCUUUUAAAUUUUCUCCUUGCCUUUGUUUGAAGUGAAGAACUUCAAAUUUGGGAGACAUAGGAGCAGAUAAGGAACUAGCCAUAACGAUAAGGUAAAGGAUCUAACACACGAGCAAACGGAAAAAGGCAAGCGAAAGAGAGAGGAAGAAGAAGGCAAGCGGAAAAGAGAGGAGAUUGGGAAAGAGAGGGCAAAUAAAACAGCAAGGGUGAAGUGGGGGAGAGGAAAAUGAGAGGCAAAUGGCAAAUAAUGUAAAUGCGAGGGAGAUGAGUUUGUGAUGGGUACUUGGUAUGUGUUGACUUGAGCGAAGACCUCCACGGAAACGGCGCCAGAAAUCGCACGUUGGCGGGAGGUCGAAUCUUGACUUGACUUGGUGGAAGACUCCCCGGCAACGGCGCCAGAAAUCCUUCUUGCUACGUCUUGAGCUUGCGUUGGUUUUCCUUGAAUAGGAAAGGGUGAUGCAGCAGAGUAGCGUCAGUAUUUCCCUCCGUUUUUGAGAACCAAGGUAUCAAUCCAGUAGGAGGCUCCUCACAAGUCCCACAAACCUACACAAACAAACAAAGAACUCGCAACCAACGCGAUAAAGGGGUUGUCAAUCCCUUCACGGUCACUUGCGAAAGUGAGAUCUGGUAGAGAUAAUAUGAUAAGAUAAAUAUAUUUUUGGUAUUUUGUAAUAUAGAUGCAAAAAGUAAAGAUGCAAAUAAAAGUAGAUUGAAAGUUUAUAUGAUAAAGGAUAGACCCGGGUGCCAUAGAUUUCACUAGAGGCUUCUCUCAAGAUAGCAUAAGUAUUACGGUGGGUGAACAAAUUACUGUCGAGCAACUGAUAGAAAAGCGAAUAAUUAUGAGAUUAUCUAGGCAUGAUCAUGUAUAUAGGCAUCACGUUCGUGACAAGUAGACCGACUCCUGCCUGCAUCUACUACUAUUACUCCACACAUCGACCGCUAUCCAGCAUGCAUCUAGAGCAUUAAGUUCAUAAGAACAGAGUAAGGCAUUAAGAAAGAUGACAUGAUGUAGAAGGAUAAACUCAAGCAAUAUGAUAUAAACCCCAUCUUUUUAUCCUCGAUGGCAACAAUACAAUACGUGCCUUGCAACCCUUUCUGUCACUGGGUAAGGACACCGCAAGAUUGAACCCAAAGCUAAGCAUUUCUCCCAUGGCAAGAAAGAUCAAUCUAGUAGGCCAAACUAAACCGAUAAUUCGAAGAGACUUGCAAAGAUAACUCAAUCAUACAUAAAAGAAUUUAGAGAAGAUUCAAAUAUUAUUCAUAGAUAAACUUGAUCAUAAACCCACAAUUCAUCGGAUCUCGACAAACACACCGCAAAAAGAGUUUACAUCGAAUAGAUCUCCACAAGAGAGGGGGAGAACAUUGUAUUGAGAUCCAAAAAGAGAGAAGAAGCCAACUAACUAAUAACUAUGGACCUGAAGGUCUGUGGUAAACUACUCACAACUCAUCGGAAGGGAUAUGGUGUUGAUGUAGAAGCCCUCCAUGGUGGAUUCCCCCUCCGGCAGAACGCCGGUGACGGCUCCAAGAUGGGAUCUCGCGGAUACAGAAGGUUACGAUGGCGGAAAUAUUUCUUUGGUGGCUCCGUGGAUGUUUUCGGGGUACGUAGGCUUAUAUAGGAGGAAGAAGUACAUCGGUGGCCGCCCGAGGGGCCCACAAGACAGGGGGCGCCCAGGAGGGGUGGGCGCGCCCUCCACCCUCGUGGCCGCCUCGGCUGCUUCUUGGCUUGCACUCCAAGUCCUCUGGAUAACGUUUGUUCCAAAAAUCAUGCUCUCGAAGGUUUCAUUCUGUUUGGACUCCGUUUGAUAUUCCUUUUCUAUGAAAAUACUGAAAUAGGCAAAAAAACAGCAAUACUGGCUGGGCCUCCGGUUAGUAGGUUAGUCCCCAAAAUGAUAUAAUUGUGUAAAAUAAAGCCCAUAAACAUCCAAAACAGGUAAUAUAAUAGCAUGGAACAAUCAAAAAUUAUAGAUACGUUGGAGACGUAUCAGCUCUCUUUAUGUUUCAACUCUUAUCUUUUAUGUGGGCAUCAUUGAAAUCAUCACGCCUAGCUAAAAGGCAUUAAAGAAAAGCGCUUGUUGGGAGACAACCCAAUAUUUACCCUUAUUGUUUUUGUGUGGUCACAUGAUUAAGCUACUGCAGUAAUCAUGUUUUAUCGCUUUUGUUCCAAUAAAGUGCCAAGUACGACCUUUGGAAAGACUUGGGUGAAAGUUAAUGUGAUCUUGCUGUAAAAAACAUAAACUUUCUGCUCACGAGAUUAGCUGUCAUUUUUUACAGAAGAGUGAUUUUGAGUUGAUUCUUUUUGAAGAAGGUUAAUAGGAAAAUUCCUCACGUCCACCAAUUUAUCUAAUAAUUUUUGGAGUAGCAGAAUUAUGGUUGAUGUUCAGAUCAUUACAGACUGUUCUGUUUCUGACAGAUUUUGUUUUCAUUGCAUAGUUUGCUUGUUUUCGAGUUUCUGUGGCUUAUAUUUCUCAAUAUAAAUUGUAGAAAUGAUAUGGUACAGUAGGCAUUGUGUGAUAACAAUUAUGAAUCUUGUCUCUAACAGUACCAAAGUGAAUGAUUUACUCUUUAUCAUACUAACCCAUCUCACGAAGUUCCGUUAAGUUUUGUGUGAUUGAUGUUGUCAAGUUUGAGUGAGAAAUCGAUAUGAGGAGAAUAAGGAGUUGAAAGAACCUAAGCUUGGGAAUGCCCAAGGCACCCCAAGGUAGUAUUAAAAUAAGACUCAAGCACUUAAGCUUGGGGAUGCCCCGGAAGGCAUCCUCUCUUUCGUCUUCAAAACUAUCGGUAUACCUUACUCGGAGCUAUAUUUUUAUUCGUCACAUGAUAUAUGUUUUGCUUGGAGCGUAUUUUCAAUUCUACUUAGCGUUUUAAUAAAAUCAUUGGAUCUGAAAUCUUGAAUGAAAAAGAAUCCUCCCAUGGCUAGUUAAUUAUUUGACUACUCAGUGUUCUUCACUUAUAUCUUUUUGGAGUAGUUUGUCAUUUACUCACGUGCUUCAUGAAUAUCCUAUGAGUAAAUGGUUGAAUAAAUUGAAUAUCAUAAAUCUGAAUUUAUAUAUGUUUCAUAUGCUUAUACCAUGAGGAGUAAUGACUUCACACAUAAUAAGUAUAGGUAGUAAACUUAUUGAAAGUUAGCGAACGCAGAAUUGGUCACUUGAACAAUUCAUGAAAGAAUAUUGAAGGAAGAGAGAUUUCACAUAUAAAUAUACUAUCUUGGACAUCUUUUGUAAUUGUGAGCCCUCAUUAAAAUAUGACAUGCUAAAAGGUUGAUGUUGGAAAAGGAAGACAACUUAAUUGGUUAUGUUUUCCUAUAUCCGAAACGUUAUAUUGUCUUGGAUCAUCCAACAUGUUGAGCUUGCCUUUCCCUCUCAUGCUAGCCAAAUUCUUUGCACCAAAUAGAAAUACUACUUAUGCUUCCAAACAUCCCUUAAACCAGUUUUGCCAUGAGAGUCCACCAUACCUACCUAUGGAUCGAGUAAGAUCCUUCAAGUAAGUUGUCAUCAGUGCAUGCAAUAAAAAUUGCUCCUUCAAUAUGUAUGAUCUAUUAGUGCGAAGAAAAUAAGCUUUAUACGAACUUGUGAUAGGGAAGAAAUAAAAGCGACGGACAGCAUAAUAAUGGUCUUUAUCAUAAGCAGCAAUAUAAAGUGACGUUCUUUUUGCAUUAAGAUUUUGUGCAUCCAACUAUAAAAGCGCAUGACUUCCCUCUGGGAAGGGCCUAUCUUUUACUUUUAUCUUCUACCCUUAUACAAGAGUCAUGGUGAUCAUCACCUUUCCUUUUUACACUUUUUCCUUUGGCAAGCACUUUGUAUUGGAGCGAUCUGGAUAUAUAUAUCCACUUGGAUGUAGGUUUUCAUCAAUUAUUAUUGUUGAUAUUACCCUUGAGGUAAAAGGUUGGGAGGCGAAACUAUAAGCCCCUAUCUUUCCCUGUGUCAGCUUGAAACUUUGAACCCAUAAAUAUCACACGAGUAUUAGCAAUUGUGAAAGAUUAAAUGAUAGUUGAGUAUGUGGAGUUUGCUGAAUCAAAGCUCUUACAUAGACCCUUCCUGAAAAUAAGAUGAAUUGCAAUUGUUUGAUGACUAAGAGCAUGGUUUGUUAGUUUUCAAGAAAGUUUAUGAUCUAUACAUAUACUUUAACAUGUGAAUAGCUUCUUACUUGAUCAUGAGAAGUUUUAUGAGUUGAGCUACUAUUAUGAUAUAUAAUGAUGCUAGAAAAAGUGAUUGAAACUAUCAUUGAUCAAACUUAAGCACUUGCUAGCAUUCACACUUCAUAAGUUAUUUCUUUUAUCAUUUACCUACUCGAGGGCGAGCAGGAAUUAAGCUUGGGGAUGUUGAUACGUCUCCAACGUAUCUAUAAUUUAUGAAGUAUUUAUGCCAUGUUUACAAUAGUUUUAUAUGAUUUUGGUAUGAUUUGAUUAGAACUAAUCCGGACUGACAUUGUUUUCAGCAGAACUACCGUAGUGUUUUUUGUGUGCGGAAAUAGAAGUUCUCAGAAUGCGCUAAAAAUCAACGGAGAUUUUUUUUGGAAAAUAUAAAAAAUACUGGAACAAAAAUCUACCAGAGCGGAGUCCUGUGAGCCCCAUGAGGGUGGGGGGUGCGCCCACCCCCUAGGGCGCGCCACUGUGCCUCGUGGACUUCUCGUGGGGCUCCCUAACUUGUCCUCGAUGCCAACCUCUCCUAUAAAUGCCCAAACUUCCAGAAAUUAACCUAGAUCAGAAGUUCUGCCGCCGCAAGCCUUUGUAGCCAUGAGAAAUCAAUCUAGGUCCUCUCUGGCACCCUACCGGAGGGGGCCAUCAUCAUCGGAGGCCAUGGGGAAGGAUCUCGGAGGGGCCAUCAUAGCCAUGAAGGCCAAGGACCAGAGGGGGAAUCUCUCCCCAUCCAAGGGGGAUGCCAUGAAGGAGGAAGCACAAGGGGGAGAACCUCUCAUCCUCUCUCUCGGUGGCGCCGGAGUGCCAUCGGGAGGGAAAUCAUCGCCGCGGUGAUCGUCUUCAUCAACAUCACCCUCAUCAUCACCAUCCUCAUCUCUUUUACGCGGUACACUCUCCCACACCCUCCUGUAAUCCCUACUUGAAUAUGGUGCUUUAUACCACAUAUUAUGAUCCAAUGAUGUGUUGCCAUCCUAUGAUGUUUUGAGUAGAUAUCCUUUGUCUUUGGGUUGAUUGAUGAUCUAGAUUGGUAUGAGUUGUAUGUUUUAUUUUGGUGCUGUCCUAUUGUGCCCUCUGUGUCGCGCAAGCGUGAGGGUUUCCCGCUGUAGGGUGUUGCAAUAUGUCCAUGGUUUACUUAUUGUCUGUGUUGCUUGAGUGACAGAAGAAUAAACACGGAUAAGUGGGUCACGGCGUAUGGGAAUAAAGGGGACUUGAUAUGUUAAUGCUAUGGUUGGGUUUUACCUUAAUGAUCUUUAGUAGUUGCGGAUGCUUACUAGAGUUCCAAUCAUAAGUGCAUAUGAUCCAAGAAGAGAAAGUAUGUUAGCUUAUGCCUCUCCCUCAUAUGAAAUUGCAAUAGUGAAUACCGAUCUUGUUAACAAUUGCCUAGGAUAAUUCCGCACACCGAACCAUCAUUAUUCCACACUCGCUAUUUAUAAUAUUUAGUAAUAUAUUCUAAAUUUAUGAUAACAACACCUACUUUUAUAUUUUAGCUCUCUGAUAUCAUGCAAAGUUAUCCUCUUCAUUCCCACAACAUAGUUUUAUUUCUCGUUUCUAGUUGUAAGCAAAUGUUCGGUGUACGUAGAGUCGUAUCAGUGGAAGAUAGGAAUUGAGAGAAUAUUGAUCUUACCUUUAGCUCCUUGUGGGUUCAACACUCUGUGCUUAUCACUUCCACCUUUGGAAGUUGCUACGAUGAUUCCUUGCACUUGGGGAUUAUCAAGAUUUUAUUGUUCUUGAUAUUGACUGCCAUUCGUCUUUUUCAAUUAUUCUUGGUAGACCGUUUUUACAUACUAUUGGUGUCGUGAUUGAUAUGAAAGAAGGCAAUAUUAAAUUUCAAUUUCCAUCAAGGAAGGGUAUGGAACACUUCCCUGGAACAAGAAUUAAUCCACCUUAUGAAUCAAUCAUGAGGGCAUCUUAUGGAUCUAGAAAUAAAGAUGACAACACUUAGAUCUUUGCAUUAUGCCUAGCUAGGGGUAUAGAACGAUAGCGCUUGUUGGGAGGCAACCCAAUGAAUAAAAUUUAAUUUUGUCUUUUCAUUUAUGUUCUUGAGUGUUUGCAAAAUUAUGCUACUGUUAUGAUUGUGUUUUUUAUGUUUUAAUUAGUGUUUGUGCCAAGCAAAGCCUUUGGGAUCAUGUUGGAUGAUAGUUGAUUUGAUCUUGUUGAAAAACAGAAACUUUUGCGUCCAGAAAAACAAUUUUAAAAAAUCACAGAGAUGUGAUUUUGCUCUGAUUUUUUUUCAAAAGAUUGGUAUACAAAUUGCCCACAUUGUUCUAAUUUUCAGAAUUUUUGGAGUUACAUAAGUAUUUGAAGUUCUCAGAUUGCUAGAAAUUGUUCUGUUUUUGACAGAUUCUGUUUUCUUUGCGUUGUAUGUGUUUUCGAUGAGUCUAUGGUUUGUAUUGGAGGGUAUAAGCUAUAGUAAAGUCGUAAUAAAAUAGAUAUAAUGCAAAAAUAAAAUAUGAAUGACACUACAAAAAAAGACACAUCUGUGACAUUUUGGGCCGAACGAGAUUUUUUUCUGUCAUACAUAUGACACUUCUAUGACGAUAAUUGUGACCAAACCCGGUAUCAUCAUAGAUGUGGUGGGCUCCUACUUCUAUGACAAAAAAUCAUGACGGAAAAUGGGCGGGCCGGAGACGCAGCUGUAUGACAUUAUUUGGGCCGUCCAUGAUGGAAAAAACCAUGGUAGAAGCGAGGGGGAGGAAAAUUUCGGGGAGUUGCCGGUUACGGUGGGAGGUCGGGGGCCGAGCGAUGCACGUUUCUCUCAUAGUACGCGUGUGUGUGUGUGAGGCGUUGGCUCUAACUGAAGCCGAGCGAGGCGUUGGGCUCUAACUGAACCCGAGCGAUUGCACUACAGGCUACGCGUUACUGAACCCGAGCGAUUGAUCGAUGGCUGUUAACUGAACCUGAUGGANNNNNNNNNNNNNNNNNNNNNNNNNNNNNNNNNNNNNNNNNNNNNNNNNNNNNNNNNNNNNNNNNNNNNNNNNNNNNNNNNNNNNNNNNNNNNNNNNNNNNNNNNNNNNNNNNNNNNNNNNNNNNNNNNNNNNNNNNNNNNNNNNNNNNNNNNNNNNNNNNNNNNNNNNNNNNNNNNNNNNNNNNNNNNNNNNNNNNNNNNNNNNNNNNNNNNNNNNNNNNNNNNNNNNNNNNNNNNNNNNNNNNNNNNNNNNNNNNNNNNNNNNNNNNNNNNNNNNNNNNNNNNNNNNNNNNNNNNNNNNNNNNNNNNNNNNNNNNNNNNNNNNNNNNNNNNNNNNNNNNNNNNNNNNNNNNNNNNNNNNNNNNNNNNNNNNNNNNNNNNNNNNNNNNNNNNNNNNNNNNNNNNNNCGCGCGGUGGAGGCUGGAUGAACAGGAGCCUGUGGAGGUUGGAGGAGGUCGACGGUAGCCCGUGGAGGCUGGAGGAGGUCGACGGUGGAGAUGAACAGUAUCCCAUGGAGUCCCAUUUUGCGGUAUGCCACACCCCUCCCCCCGUUUCGACCGUAGCGCUCCAACACAAGUCCGUUUCGUCCGUUUUGCGGUACGCCACACCCCUCCCGAUCAACAGGACCCCCGUUUCGACCGUAGGAGGUCCGUUUCCUCCGCUUUGCGGUACGCCAGGCCCCUCCCGAUCAACAGGACCCCGUUUCGACCGUAGGAGGUCCGUUUCCUCCGUUUUGUGGUACGCCAGACCCCUCCCGAUGAACAUGAUCCCAUUUCGAACGUGGCCGGUCGAACAAAAGGCCGUUUCCUUCGUUGUGCGGUACGCCAGGCCUCGUUUCCAUCGCCUGUUCAGUCCAAGCCCUCCCGAUGAACACGACCACGCAUUUGGUUCCGACCUAGCCGGUUGGCUCCCACGCGUUCCGUUGCCUCCCAAUGAACACGACGCAUUCCGUUGCCUCCCCAUGAACACGACGAUGACGAUGUUUCUCCGUUCCGACCCAGCCAUGUACAUAUGCGCGAGUAGGCGUACGCUUCGACCAGGUGGGUCCCAACUGUCAGGCACUUCCUUGCCUGCGAAGAUGUAGCUGGUGGGUCCCAGCAGUCAGGGGGGCGAAUCGUUUUUUUUGCCCGGACGCACUUCCUUGCGUGCGAAGAUGUAGCUGGUGGGUCCCAGCAGUCAGGGGGCGAAUUGUUUUUUUUGCCCGGACACACUUCCUUGCGUGUGAACAUGUAGCUGGUGGGUCCCACCAGUCAGGGGAAACAUUUUUUUCACAAAAUACGAUGGCCCGUCCGGUGGGUCCCCGCUGUCAGGUGGAGGAAUAAUUAUUUUGCGCGUAAUAAGGAGGCACUUCCUUGCGGCCGCCGUGGACCCAGCUGUCAGCCUCUCCACGCACAGUACUCUUCCGAUGGAAGUUGGUCGUUGGCCACAUUGACCACGCCGUGCCGAGAGCACCACGGCGGUGGACGAUGGCGAGGCCUAGAAGGGGAUGACGCGGAGCCGGGGAAGACGCAGCAGUGGAUGCCCACGCGAAGAGGAGUACGAGGGUGAGGCUGUCGUCGCCGCAGAAUAACAGGGGGUGUGGGUGAGUAGAGGGAUGGCCUGGCCAGCGGUGGGAGUAGUAGAGGGUGGUGAGGCCUCCGCGGCAUCACAGCCGGCCAUGGGAGGCAGGAGCACGCGGCACGACCGAUGCUGCUUUGGGCGGCUGGAGCACGAAGACCAGAGGUUCAAGAAGCACUACGGCCGUUGGAUGGACAUCGUACGGUCACUGGAGCUAGAGUUGUUCAUAUUGACUAAGUUGACAAAGGCCUCCGUCCCCGUAAACUUAGUAGGCCCACAAGUCAGCCUCCCACCAAGGUGAGUCCCAGCUAGCAGGGGGAGUAUUCAUUUUUUUGUGCAUAAUAAGGAGGCAUUUCCGGUGGGUCCGAGCUGACAGCGGGGGGAACGUUUUUUCGCGAAAUACAGAGACCCUUCCGGUGGGUCCCAGCUAUCAGGUGGAGGAAUCAUUAUUUUGCGCGUAAUAAGGAAGCAUUUUCCUUUGUCGGCCCCUACUGUCAGCCUCUUCCGAUGGCUGUUGUUUGUUGACCAUGUUGACCUCGCUGCACCGAGAGCACAAACGUAGUGGACGAGGGCGGGGCCCAGGAAGAGAACCACCCGGAGCCGGCGAAGCCAUCGCACUGGAUGCCCAUGCUGAGGGGAGAACAAGCGCUGACUGGUCGGCUAUGGGGUGAGGCUGACAUCGCCGGAAAAUAACAGGAUGUGUGGGUGGUUAGAGGGAUGGCCUGGCGGAAGCACAUCCAGCCAUGGGAGGAGGGAGCAAGCAGUCCCGCCAGCGCUGGUUUGGGCGGCUGGAGCAGGAAGAUGAGAGAUUGAAGAAGCACGGCGGCCGUUGGAUGGACAUCCAACAGUCACUGCUGUGUGUUGACUAAGUUGACAAAGCCUUGCGUACGCGUCAAAAAAAAAUUUAGGACAGCGUCAUCGUCAACCUAGUAGGCCCAGAAGUCGGCCUCCAAAUCUGUGGAAAACAGCAUACAUCCCAUUAGCCAUUAUUUUCAAUAAUUUACAGCCCAUUUGCUAAUUCUUAAGGAUAUUUGAAGCUCAUAUUCUUUUUAUUAGCAUUACAGACCAUAUAUUCUAGGCACUGCUAAAAAAUUCAAUGAAAUUUUGCAUAUUUUGGUGGGGUCCGAACUCUUUUAAUCACGAAAUUUCGAGUCACGUUAAAAAUAGUUUUCAAAAAAUUAUAUCAAAAUAAAAUUCAAAAAACAAUUCACCGCAAAAAAAUGAAUGAAAUUUAGAAUCUUAACUAGCAAGAUGCCCGUUCGUUGCACGGAACAUGAAGAUGCAUUUGUAUGAGUAGUUUAUCUUGUGGGUGAAAAGAUGAUAUUUUAAUGUAAUUGCCAGUUGGCUUUGGUUUUUAUAAGAGUAGAGAGUAGAGAAAUCUUGGAAAAAAAAGAUAUUUUAAUGCAAUUGCCGGUUGGCUUUGGUUUAAAAAUUUACAGCCCAUUUCUUACAACUUAUAGCCCGUUUUCUGGGGAAGCACAUUUCUUAUCCCUCCUCCUCGUCUUGAAAGAUUUGCAGCCCAGCAGGGCUGAGAAAAGCAAGUAGGCCUCGGUUUUGGUAUUCUCCAAAAAAAAGAACUGGGCUAGCCAAUUUCAGAAAGAAAAAAAUAUCAACUGGGCUCGUCAUGUGCUUAAUAAAAGCGUAAGCGUGGGCUAGACGGGCCACAGCCCCCGCACAGCGCGCAGUUGAGCUCCGUAUCUGAAACUGAAAAACAACUGGGCGAGCUGCUGGGUCCCUGGUGUUAUCCGCUUGUUGUGUAAUUUUCUUGUUUAUUGACUACAUUGACAAUGGCGUGGAACCUAGUUGUCAAACAAUUAGGAGGAAGUAUUGUUUAUGCUUGGAAUAACGAGGCACCGGCUUGCGAAAUGCAAUGACCCUGGUGGGUCCCUAUUGUCAGCCUCUCCACGUACAGUCAUCUCCUGAUUCCUCUUGGUUGUUGACCAUGUUGACAACACCAGACGACGGCGAGCACAGCGAGCUAACCAAGGCGGAGAAUGACGACAAGGCCUCGGACGGAAACAAACAGCAGCCAUGAAAGAUGCGGCAGUGUAGUGGCAGGUCGAGGGGAGUACGAGGGCAACAACAUGCAAGUCAAGCAUACAAAUGGUACAAAAAGCUCAAGGAUUAAUUGUUCAUCAAAUUUCUAGACAAAACCCAGAUUGAACAUGACAGUAACAUCUAACCCAACAACUCUUUUUUGCAGUCACAAACAAAUGGAUCGGUCUGAUCCAUAAAAUCAACAUCCUGUGCAAAAAAAUAUAUUUUAGGAUGUCUACAACUUGUUGUAAAUAGAAGCCGAGCACGUUUAGAAGCCCAUUUGUCCACCUGAAACUUCUUUUUUUGCUGUUCAACAUGUUCAUCCGUGAGAAAUCUCUUGCUAUAAAAAUUAAGCCUCAUGGACAAUAGUAACCUCGCAUUCAACAGGAAGAAUGUGACAAAGCUUCUGUUUGCCUGGUUGGAUGCAUAUCGUCCCAUCGUUAUUGUCCUCAAACGAAUGUCAUGAGAACUGAGAAAAUCCUUGUGCUUAUUACGCCAACGAUUGGUUAUAUGUUUUUCUCCAUGUGGUUCUGCCUAAGUAGACAUGAAGAUUCAAAACAGUUAAGGUCUGAAAAAAAGAGUAUGUCGAAAGAACGACAGCUGAACAGUUAAUUCUAGUACAAUAUAUAUGGGCUUUCAAUGUGGAUGAAAUCAUCACCUCUAUGUAUAAAUUCUCCAGAGAUCGAAAGCAUCGCAGCAAGCCAAUAAUUAUGUCCAGAUCAAAACUAUACAUUCUAAUAUAUAUGAUCUUGACAGAAUCCAGCAGCAUUGAUAGGCUAUCAAUGGCGAACUCUUCAUUGAGCAUAUAACAUAAUAUUAGUACCCAAAGUGUACUACAAGAUGAUAUAAAACUUAUGCGCACAAAUGAAAAAUGCAGCAUAUGAUUACAAAUGUGUAGAUGAUAAUAUACGGUACUUGAAAAGGUGAGGAGCCAAACACCAACUCCGUGUGAUUAUUAAACGGGUCAUGAAUUACACCCAAGGUCUCCAGUUUGGGCGCAAAGACGACAAUUAUUUCUGAAGGUGUAUAACAAUUAUCAAGGGGCAACCUUUCAAGUGAAGGGGCAUCUUCGAUGAUGAGCUGCUGUCCUUCAAAACAAAUUCCAAUGCUGUUAAGGUGAGGCGACUUUAUUUGGAGACAACUGAUACCGAUUUCUAUUCCCAAAACAAUCAGCAAGCGCUCCAAGGCAGGGCAACUGGAGUGGAUGAUGCUGUGCAGUGAGGCCUCCGACAGAUAAACCACCAUAAGCGAAAGUUUUUUUAGCAGUGGGAGUCAAAGCAUUUGUACCAGAUCGUCUGGUAGAUGGCACCGGGCGAAGGUGGCAGUGUGGAGAGAGGAGGAAAACCGUGAGAUGGACAACGGUGGUGUGGGCACUAAUUCUUGGUAUGUUCGUGGUAUGAAACUUUCGUGGUAAUGGUAGAACUCAAAUUGCUGGAGUUUUCCGAAUUCAGGGGAUGUCAGCCAAGCGUCCACCUUGCCGGGUAUGGAUAGCAGGUAGCUUGUCGGGAUGUAGAGGCAUUGAACGGGGCCCUGCUGGUGAGAAGAGACGAUGACUCUGAUGAGAUCAAAUUCAGGAAGGACAGAUAUCUGACGACAGUCGAGAUUGAGGGGCGCGGUGCGCCAUAGAGGGCGCCACCGAGUUGAGAGGACUUGUGUGCGGCAGCAAUCCUUGGUGGGGAGAAGCGAGAUGAUCUCCUCAAGGAUGACGUCCGGGAGAUCGCUGAUGCGGUCCACCAGAGAUUCUAUCGGUUCCCUAGAUCCGGGUGGGGGGGCUCGUCGCUUCUCCCAUGCUACCGGGUGCGGGAUCUACAACCGGCGUCGCCGCUGGCGGGAGCCUCAUCUUCUUGGCGCUGGGGCCAGCCGACUCCAUUUUCCUUGUGGGCGUCGCGCCAAGCUCACGGGUUCGAGCAGAGUAGCCAGAGACGAGCCUAGUGGCAGUGCGAGUGGGGAAGAAGGAGGGCUGGGGAUUUCUGUAGGAGUGGAAGAAGAAGAGCAGGCGUUUUCUGUACGAGUGAGGAAGAAGGUGAGUGGGGUUUUCUGGACGAGUGAGGAAGAUUGGGGAGCAGGGGGAAUUGGGUGGGGAGACGGAAGCGGGAGAGCGAGUUGUUCGUGUUUAUAAGGCACGCUGCACUAACUACUCGCUUUUUCACAAGAACCGCUCUCUUCUUUUGCGUUGCUGCAUGACUGGCCACGCAUGCAGGAUACAUGUGCCCGCCGGCCACUGGAUGCAUCUGGUUUCUUACUAGGCCUAUUUAAUAGGGUGGUUAUGGAGUAAAUUAAGGAGAUUUAUUUUCUCUAUGUGCAUCCACCAAAUUAGAGGAUGUGGUACUGGAUGCAGACACUCACAUUAAACUACCAUUCAGAAGAACAAAAGUUCAGCAUGUCUAUGCAUCUCAAUGAUUCACCAUACUAUAACCAAUAUUCAAAACUGUGAGAAGGUGUGGAAAUAAAGAAAACCGAUCGAUGCUUCUCUGAGCAAAGGGCCUCCCUGCGCACGCAUUAAUUUCCUGGGCAUGCUUGUUUCUUCUCAAUGUUGCAAGCACUUUGAGCAUGUUGGCAACUCCACAGCUAUCUAGCUGCCUCAUCUUGCAAUUGAUGCUGGCACAUUUGCAGCAAACACAUGAGGCAAUAGAGAUGACUCAACAUGGGUCCAUAUUGUGCAGUUCCCCUGAUAUCCUAUUCAUUGUCCUGAAUCUGAAAAGAUAGGAAAACAGUAGCUAUACUUAAACAGUGUUGCAAAACAGUAGCACAUAUCAAUAGCCCGGCAUGACAAAACACGAUCAUCUGGGCGAAGGGGAUACUGACCUGCCUGAGGAAGAUUACAUAUAAUUUCAUAAGUCCUUGGUUGAUUUCCACCUUCGGCUGCACUGCUUGUUUGCUCCUCCAGACAUGAUAGGAUCGUUUCGCACUGCAUUCAGCAAGUCAACGUACGAAUAAGCUAAUUUCAUCUUGCGGUGGUCAUUGUACCUAGUAAUGAAUGUAGGAAUACCUGGAGCACCAUGAGGUUAGCUGACAGCAGGUAGAUGCAGCCAUAUAAAUUUUGUGCGGUGCUACCAAAAUUGAGGUUUGUAUCCCUUCCCGUUAUGAGAAUUCUUCUUGAAGUUGGUAGAAUGUGAUGGCUUGUUCUUUGCAUCAAACUUGCCUUUCCCCUGAGAUUUGUUCUUGUUGUUUUGGGGCUGGUUGGGCUGGAAGUUCUUCUCGUGUACCAUGUGGGCACUAGAAGCUCCCUCGGCGACCCGAGCACGUGUGUCUUUUGCUCUCGCCUUCUCCUCAAAAUCAAGAGCGCUAAUGAGAUCCAAAACAAAAAACUCAUGUCUCUUGUUUUUCAGAGAAGUAGCAAAAUUGUUCCAUGAAGGUGGAAGCUUGGCAAUGAUGGUCCCAACAACAAACUUGUCCAGCAACACACACUUAAAGUACUCAAGUUCCUUAGAGAGUGACUGUAUCUCAUGAGUCUACUGAACAACAGAGCGCUCAUCAGUCAUCUUGUAGUCGCAGAAUUGCUCCAUGACGUACAACUCAUUGCCAUCACCCGAGGGCCCAAACGUGGCAUCGAGCGCAACCCACAUGUCUUUGCCGCUGUCAAACAACAUAUACGAAUCCACAAUGGAAUCGUCAAGAACACUCAGCAGGGUGGCUUUGAAGAGGGUAUCCAUGUUCUGAAAAGCUUCCUAUUGUGUAGGAUUAAGAUCGCCCUCAGCCUUACCCUUAGUGGCGUCAUAGCAGCACAUGAUCUGAAACCAAUAUACUGCUCUUGUGCGCCACCUUUUAUAUUGCACCCCUUAAAAGUAGGCGGCUUUAAAAGCGCAGCAAAACAACUCGGAGUAAAUUGCCUGUGAUCAGGUUUUUGGAUUGGAUUGUUGAAUAUAUGAGCAAUUUAGUAUGAGACAUAAUCUGAAUCAGCAGUAAAUAGAUCAUGAUGACAAUUGCAAACAUCAAAGUAAUGAUGCGGACUAAACCAGGAGGACAGAAUCACAUACUGUACAGCGGGAGCAGAACCAAUGUGGUUGAUGUUGUCACUCAUGUUGUUGAUGAAGAGGUUACCGAGGUCGGGCAAGAAGGCUGUCAUUGAGGAAGUCGUCGCUGGCAGCAGUCACAGGAGUGUGCUCCCCAAAAACCUGAUCGCCCCUCUCCCGUACAGGAUCACGAAAGGCGGGGUUCGGAGGACUGCUGUCCCUUCUCGCGGUGCACGCCGGAAGGAGGGCUGGAGAAGAAUUACGUGGCGGCGCUAAGAUCUGGAAUGGUGCGAAACCAUAUGAUACAGCGGUGGCUAGGGUAGAGCAUGUUAGGUCGGAGUAUAAUAGUAGGCCUUUGGCCCCCAAACCCCAUGUCCAAGUCAAUAAUAGCUCAAAAAAGUCAAUAAUAGCCCCACCAAGGUUUGUCUAAAAAAACGAAGUAAUUAAGGCGUCCGUUAGUCCCUUUAGUAUAAAUACAAUAUCAUUAAUAAUGGCCCCACCUUUUGUCUCACAAAGUAGAGUAUGUUGGAGUACAACCGGCUACACAUUUACAAUCCGCUUCUCUUCUCUCUCCUCUUCUCUCUCCUUCAACUAAGCACAAAUACUAUAUUUAAAUCCUUACAGCCUGCUUAUGUCAUCUAAUUAUAGUAGUACUUGCUCUAAAAGUUACUAUCCACUGUGUAGUCUGAAAUGCCAGGCGUGCAGCGGGCGGUGCCCUCGGUCGGCGCGCCGCUUCAACGGCGGAAGUAGUGAGAGGUCGCAUCGCUCUGACUUGCCAUCAAUGUGGAGCGGCGGGCUCAGCUGGCGUCGGGUGGGAAGCGCGCGCGGGAGGGGGGAUGGGUUUUUGUUGGGCCAAGAAGGUGAGAAGCCAACUUGGGAUCAGUCCGGAUGGGGAAAUAUCAUGUGCUCCCAUACUCUGCAUAUGACACUAGUGUAUGUUACUACUCCCUCCUUUCCGGUUUAUAGAGAUGUUUAGAGUAACAUAGUAAUAUGUUACAGUACAAGUUACUCCCCACUAUGACCAGCCUUGGCCUCUCCCAGUACUCCACCAUGUAUAGCUGCUAAGCCUGCCACGUAGGCAUAAAAUAUGAUGUGGCACCAAUAAACUAAGCACCUAUGCAUUGAACACUUGAGUUACUAAGCCAUUUAAUGCACUUAGCACCUCAUCUAAAGAGCAUUAAUAGUAUAGCCAGCUGCUGGCUAUAAGCCUACAUCCCAUCUUAUAGUCAACAUAUACUACAAAGUGCCUAGGAGCACGUGCUAGAGCUGGCUCUUCACGAAGAGCCCGCUUACCUUCUCUCUCCUCUUCUCUCUCCUCUUCUCUUUCCUCCAACUAAGCAGAAAUAUACUACUGUUUACUCCCUCCCUUCCGGUUUAUAGGGCUCAAAUCUCAAAUCUCAUCAACCAAGGCAUUUUGUGAGUGGAGGAAUGUAUCUCGUACAUUACAAAACUACCCAAUUAAACUCAUGCAUUAAUUUGGAUUAAUUACAGUGCAUGCAUGCUUGGCCACUAGAUGAGUAGGAACAUUACAUGCAUUGGUGUGUUCCUUUUUAAUUCUUGCAUGCAAAGAUUUAAUGCGCAUUGGAAACUAAAAAUGAGAUGGAGGUGAGCCCUCUAGAUUGGAAAAACAAAAAAGUUGAGAUAAGCCUUAUAAACCGGAAAGGAGGGAGUAUUCUUUAUAGCCCGCUGACUCAGCUCUAUUGUACUUGCUCUAAGCACAUCUAAACACUUGCUAGCACCCCCUUGACCGUGGACCUUGACGGUGUACGUCACCUUGUAUCUCAUAAUUUUCCUCAUCAUCAUCUGAGUCCUAGAAGAUCCCACCCACAUCAUCAUUAGCAUGCAGUCGCCUUGAUAGACAACGUGCACAGAAGGAGUAGAGGCGACUGGGGACGCACCACCACCACGUCGUGGGCACUCCAUAUGUGCUCGUGUGCGUGCAGCAUGCGUGUUUUUCCAUCGGUGCUAGCUCUAAGGCCGAGGUUGCGGUCGUCUUCGUCUCCGACUAGUAGUUGAGCAACGACGGCAAAGAGGUGCUGCAAGAGAUGCGUAUGCGCCGUUGCGUGCGAGCUUCGCCGUAGCAUGACGAACCAGACGUCACCGCGGAUGGUGCACGCCUCCAUGCAGCCGAGUGUGUGCGCAUGCAUGUGUUAUUCAUGUGCAUUCUGCGGCCGAGCGUGUGUGCAUGCACGUCUUGUGUAUGUGCGUUGUGUGCUCCAUGCUAUGCGCGUAUGUGCAUGAGUUGGAUCGGAUGGAGUUAGUGCGUUCAUUUGUGUGCAUAUUUUAGAGUGUAGAUUUACUCAUUUUGUUUCGUAUGUAGUCCCUUAUUGAAAUAUCUAAAAAGACUUAUAUUUGGGAACGGAGGGAGUAUAAAACAUCUCCAACUUAGCAUCCUGGUGUACCGUUUCUAGUGGUUAGCAAGAAGUUCAUGUUCUUUUAGUUGUUUAUAGGUGGGCAGGCGGCAAAAAACAGGGAAAACGCGCAAGGUUCCUUGCAGACGCUCCACCGCGAGGUUCCUUGCUCCUCCUCGGUCGUCGGGAAUCUAUGCUCUUCAAAUCUUUUCUUUUACGUGAGCUUUGUUCAUCCUUUUCCCAACACGCGAGACAUCUAGCAUCAAGGUGCACGUGUCAUGCAAGAAAAUGGAGAUAAUCAGAUAAGCAGUGCAUAAGUGAGUCGUGCGGGGGGGGGGGAGCGGGGGAAAACCCUUUUCCGUAAGUGAGUCGUGCACUUCAAUGGCACCUACGCAAUAUUUUUUCUCCUCGAUGGCACGUGAAUGGCACGUGAAUAGUGCACAUGAUCAACGACGGAGCACGGGAUGGUAGCAAUGACAUGGUCAGCCCUUUUUUGGAGAGAGUACGUACUACUAUUAAAUAACUUUGAUGUGUCCCGUCAACUCGCAGAACGACGAGAAGCUUGAUUACGCCUUCUCCCUCACCAACGCGUGCGCGGUGGCUCGCAGCACGAGGAGAAACUUUUGCUUACAAGCGGUGGACGUGUAGCAGUUCAUUUGGUGUCAGAUUGCCAGAAGCACUACUGUAGAACCAUCGACUUCCGGAAGAGGCGAAGAGCCAAGCGCAAGGUCACCUACUAACCUUAGGCUAGGCGUAGUGGGAGUAACAUAAGUAGAGGUACCUCCUUUUUUUAUUCUAGAAACAACCACACGCGAAUAUCAAGGUGCUGGUUACGUAGAACAAAUUUCCUGCAGUCCGUGCUCAGCACUCCUCUAUCUCUCUUCUCAGCCAGCCAGCGGAUGCGCGGAUCCCAUCGUCUGUUUGCUCACAUGCGGUCCCACAUGUCAGUGAAAAUGCAAGCGGACCCACUGAACCUGCACAUCUUUCACCUCGACAUGCCGGUGAUGAAAAACAAAUCCAAGAAAGAUCUUCGGUGGCCGCUUUUGGAGUUACUCAAGCGUAGUAAGAUUCUAUUUAUAGUUUAACCCAAGAUGCACAUCUCGUGGCUCCAACUUAUCAACUACCACUCUAUUUUCUUUCAUGACACGACCUGGAUGCUGGAUGUCCCACGUGUCGGCAAAAGGAGGAAGAACCCGACCAAAUUUCGGUUGUGCUCUCGGAUUAGACUAGUUGUGCUAACUUAAUUUUUUUAUUGUGUACUCCCUCCGUUCUAAAAUACUUGACUUCCAUUUGUCCAAAAAUGGAUGUGCCUAUAUACUAAAACAUGUCUAGAUACAUAUAUAUUUUGACAAAUACUACCUCCGUCUGGGUUUAUUGGUCCCCAAUAUAUUUCGUGCCAAAUUUUGACCAUAGAUUAAACUAACAAAAUGUUUACGCAUGUCACCAAACAUUAUAUUUUUGAAAACUAUGUUCAAAUACGAAUCCAAUGAGAUAAUUUUUCUUGACAUGCAUUAACAUUUUGUUAGUUAAAUCUUUAGUCGAAAUUUGACACAAACUACAAAGGGGACCUAUAAACCAGGACGGAGGUAGUAGAACGGAGGGGGUAGAAUGGAUGCAAGUUUUUGUAUUGGGAAGAAGAGUACAUCCAUAUAUUGAUAGAGCGUUGGAGUU